GAAAGGAUAAAACUCCAGGGAGAAGAAGGAUUGAAGUUUCUUCGACUGUAUGCAGAGAAUGUUACCCUGGAUCAAGACACAGCUCACCCAAAUCUCCAAAUUACUGAAGACAAUAGAAGGGUGAAAGGAAUCGAUAUCUCUUGGGAACUACCCAGAAAAAGGAAUCCAUUCGAUAAGCUAUUCUGGGUUUUAGGUCAGCAACUUUUUUUCAAAGGUAGACACUACUGGGAAGUGAGUGUGAAAAAUAAAUUAAACUGGACUCUAGGCAUUUGUAAAGCUUCUGUCUGCAGACAGGGAAAA